rnacentral:ncRNA from 1 species
AGGUUUCCUCCACGAAGGGUUCCGAGAAGUUUGCCUUCUGGAAGGGAUCGAAAUACCCGGCGGGGUUGCCCGCCAUCCAUGAAUAGGUCCGCGUGGAACUGAGCCACUGCAGGAAAAGGUAUGCGGCCUCCGGGUUGGCGCUGCGCGAGCUGACGGUACCGGUGAUGUUGUAAUAGAUCACCGACCGGCGCACGAGGCCGUCGUCAUGCUGCACACCCGGCGGGGCAUGGGCCG